rnacentral:misc_RNA from 1 species
AGUCUUACUCUAACCUUUCGAGGAGGAGGAUGCCGAAGGCAGGGCUGAUGACUGGGGUGAAGUCGUAACAAGGUAGCCGUACCGGAAGGUGUGGCUGGAUCACCUCCUUUUAGGGAGACCAUCUGAGAAACUACCGAACCUAAAGAAGUAGCAAUCASUAUCCCUGGUCGUUCGAGAAAUAGAUGUCAAAGCUUUCAAACUAUUAACUGGUUCGGGAAAUGGGCUAUUAGCUCAGUUGGUUAGAGCGCACCCCUGAUAAGGGUGAGGUCCCUGGUUCAAAUCCAGGAUGGCCCACCUGGAAAAAAAAGUAAUGAAUUUGAAGUAAUGAGUCAGGAAUAAAAAUUCAGGAUUCAGGGUCUAAAAAAUCAGAACUUGCUUAGUGGGGGUAUAGCUCAGUUGGUAGAGCGCCUGCCUUGCACGCAGGAAGUCAGCGGUUCGAGUCCGCUUACCUCCACUCUCACUAGCUAUGUAGCUUAGCUAAGUAUUAAAAUACAAUCAAAACCAAGAACAGCACAGAAAUCAGCACCCAGACUAUCUCAUGUGAAAGUCGGAAUGCUGGAGUCUAGAACUCUAGUCAGAACCUUGAAAACUGCAUAGAAAUUAAGUCAUCAUCAAGCUUAGUAAGCAAUCCGAUGCGUCGGAAAGGCUUUUAAGCAGACCACCAUCAAAGCAGAAAGUGGUCAAGUUACAAAGGGCUAACGGUG